rnacentral:lncRNA from 1 species
AAAUAACCCCCCCUCUUCUUCAUUUCUUCACUCAAAAUUCUUAUCUCAAUAUCAAUUCUCAAAUUCUCAAUUUCUCUCUUCCCUUCAAUUUGCAAGAUUUCAUAUUCUAAUUUUAUAAUUUUUAUUUGGCUCUUUUUUUUUUGAGUUUAAUUUAUUAGAAAUUAUCAUUUGGAAAUUGAAAUUCGAAGUUUGAAGUUCAAAGUUGAUAUACUCGCUUGACGUUUGUUCGGGGUAACACAGGAAUUGCGUAAUCAUGUGCUCAAUUUAU